rnacentral:rRNA from 1 species
AGAUUGAACGCUGGCGGCAUGCCUUACACAUGCAAGUCGAACGGCAGCACGGGAGCAAUCCUGGUGGCGAGUGGCGAACGGGUGAGUAAUACAUCGGAACGUGCCCAGUAGUGGGGGAUAACCCGGCGAAAGCCGGACUAAUACAGCAUACGACCUACGGGUGAAAGCGAGGGGAUCGCAAGACCUUGCGUUAUUGGAGCGGCCGAUGUCAGAUUAGCUUGGUUGGACGGGGUAAAAGCCCACCAAGGCGACGAUCUGUAGC